rnacentral:lncRNA from 1 species
AAGUGAAGUACCUUGCCCAAGAUGACAAGCUAAUGAGAAGAGAUGCUGGGGUUCAGACUCUGGCAGUCCAGCCUCUGAGCCCAUUCAUAGGUCUCUACCUCCCCUCUCCCUACCUCUCUCUUAGUGGGAGCCUGCCUAUCCUUCAAACCUUGAUGAAACUGAGCAAUCCUAAAACAAUGGCAGAGGGUGAGGAAGAAAGGCCGGAAAUACAUUUUUCUGCUGGUGGGUGAUUUCCUUCUUACUACAAGCCUGAUUUCUUACAGCAUUUUAAAGAUUCUUCCUCAAUCAGACACUCUCACACACCAUUUGAUGAGCACAAGACCACCAUCUUUGUAGAGGGCACUUGAACAGAAUCCAGCGGCGUCCUUAGUGUAUUUGACACCCACAACUGAUCAUCUAUCAACCUCUCUCCUCUAGCUUAAAUUCAGGACUAUGCUGUGCCAUAGAAGCUGAAGAUGCAACUUGGCCCCAAAGCUCUAGUGAAAGCUGUA